GCCUGGUCUAAUUUUUGUAUUUUUUGUAGAGACAAAGUUUUGCCAGGUUGCCCAGGCUGGUCUUGAAUUUCUAACCUCAAGUGAUCCACCUAUCUCAGCCUCCGAAAGUGCUGGGAUUAUGGGUGUGAGCCACCACACCUGGCCAUUUAUGUUGUUAUUAGGUAUCCUAAGUAACCUAGACAUGAUUUAAAGUAUACAGGAAGAUGUAUGUAGGUUAUAUGCAAAUACUACACAUUUUAUAUCAGGAGUUUGAGCAUCCUCAGAUUUUGGUGUGUGUGUGUGUGUGUGUCUUGUAAGAUGGAUUCUCACUGUCUCCCAGGAUUGAAUAUCCUCAGAUUUUGUGUGUGUGUGUGUGUGUGUGUGUGUGUGUGUGUGUGUGUGUGUGUGUGUGUUUUGUAAGACAGUCUCACUCUGUCUCCCAGGCUGGAAUGCCGUGGCGCAAUCUCUGCUCACUGCAACCUCUGCCUCCCGGGUUCAAGCGAUUCUCUUGCCUCAGCCUCCUAAGUAGCUGGGAUCAUAGGUGACUGCCACCAAGCCUGGCUACUUUUUUUUUUUUUCAGAUGGAGUCUUGCCCUGUUUCCCAGGCUGGAGUGCGGUGCCACGAUCUCAGCUCACUGCGACCUCCACCUCCCAGGUUCAAGCGAUUCUUCUGCCUCAGCCUCCCGAGUAGCUGGGAUUAUAGGCACGUGCCACCACGCCCAGCUAAUUUUUGUAUUUUUAGUAGAGAUGGAGUUUCACCAUGUUGGCCAGGCUGGUCUCAAACUCCUGACCUUAGGUAAUCUGCCUACCUCGGCCUCCCAAAGUGCUGGGAUUACAGACGUGAGCCACCGCAUCCAGCCCCAGCUAAUUUUUUUUUUGGAUUUUUAGUAGAGAUGGGUUUUCACCAUGUUGGUCAGGCUGGUCUCGAACUCCUGACGUCAAGUGAUCCGCUCACCUCAGUUUCCCAAAGUGCUGGGAUUACAAGCGUGAGCCACCAUGCCUGGCUAAUCCUCAAAUUUUGAUAUCCAAGGGACUUCCUGGAACCAAUUCCCCAUGGACACGCAGGGAAAAUUGUAAUAGUAAGACAUCAAAAGGUAAGAAAGGAAUAACAUUUUCAGUCAAAUGAGAAUUGCUAUAUUGUAAGUGUGUAUCUUCAUACACAAACUCAUGUAACAGGAAAUAUAAUUUUAUUUUUCUAUAACUCAGUUUAACAAUUUAACAAUUUAACUUUUAUUAUUCCCAUCAGCACCAUAGGAAAAGUAACAAUGAAAAAAAACUGUUACUAUUCCCAGACCAGGGAAUCCUUAUGUAGUCUAAGGAUGUGGUAGCCUGUUUACUUGUCAUCAAUUCUACCAAAUCUAUCGGCCAUAGCCUUUUUUUUUUUUUUUUUGAGACAAGGGUCUCUGUCACCUGGACUGGAGUGCGGUAGCAUGAUCAUAGCUCACUGCAGCCUCAAGCUCCUGGCCUCAAGAGAUUCUCCCACCUCAGCCUCCCAAAGCACCGGGAUACACAUGAGACAUGACACCUGGCUAUAGUCAAGUUUUGUUUGACCCAUCUGCAGGUUUUAAAAUUCAAAAGCUGGCCAGGCAUGGUGGCUCAAACCAGUAAUCCCUGCACCUGGGAGGCUGAGGUGAGUGGAUUACCUGAACUCAGGAGUCUGAGACCAGCCUGGCCAACAUGGCAAAACCCCGUUUCUACUAAAAACACAAAAAUUAGCCCAGUAUGGUGGUGUGCACCUGUUGUCCCAGCUACUCCGGGGGCUGAGGCAGGAGGAUCACUUGAGCCUUGGGAGGCUGAGGUUGCAGUGAGCCAUGAUCUCCAGCCUCAGUAACAGAGGGAGACCCUGUCUCCAAAAAAAAAAAAAAAAAAAAAAAAAAAAAAAAAAAGCAAAGGCUGUGGCUGCAGGUCACACCUCUAAUCUCAUCACUCCGGGAGGCCAAGGCAGGAGGAUGCCUUGAGGCCAAGAGUUCAAGACUAGCCUGGACAACAUAAGAGACCUUCUCUCUCCAAAAAGUUUAAAAAAUGACCAGGUGGGGUGGUACACUCACGUAGUCCUAGCUACUCAGGAGGCUGAGGUGGAAGGAUCACUUGAGCCCAGGAGUUGGAGGUUACAGCAAACUAUGAUCACGCCACCAUACUCCAGCCUAGACAAGAGAGCAAGACUUUGUCUCUCUUUUUUUAAUAAAAAACAUUUUCAUUUAUUUAUUUCAGAAGAGAACUAGAGUGAAGACCUUGUCUCUUAAAAAAAAAUCAAAAGCUGACAAUUGAUUCCUUUCUUCCUCCUUCCCCUAACCUGCUACCAUGUCAAUGGCAUUAGUUAGGAGUGGUUUUGGCUGCAAAUAACAGAACAUUUGAAUACCAGAGGCUUUAGUGAUUGAAGAUUGUUUCUCUGUUUUUGUUUUGUUUUGUUUUGUUUUUUGUUUUUGAGAUGGAGCCUCACUCUGUCGCCAGGCUGGAGUGCAGUGGCGCAGUCUUGGCUCACUGUAACCUCUGCCUCCUCCCAGGUUCAAGCGAUUCUCCUGUCUCAGCCUCCCAAGUAGCUGGGACUACAGGCGCCCGCCACCACACCCCGCUAAUUUUUUUGUAUUUUUAGUAGAGAUGGGGUUUCAC
rnacentral:lncRNA from 10 species